rnacentral:tRNA from 1 species
GCAAGUAUAAGCCUACGAUAGUGGUGCCGUAGGGGUUACUGACGAACAUGGGUUUAGAAUAGAUUGAUUUAAUGUCGGUAGCUGUUGACCGCUUGAGGGUUCGACUCCCUCUGCUUGCA